UCGAGAGGGGCCUGCGGUCGAUUAGCUAGUUGGGGGGGGUAACGGCCCACCAAGGCGACGAUCGAUAGCUGGUCUGAGAGGACGAUCAGCCACACGGGAACUGAGACACGGUCCCGACUCCUACGGGGGGCAGCAGUAAGGAAUAUUGGUCAAUGGUGGGAACACUGAACCAGCCAUCCCGCGUGCAGGACGAAGGCCCUCUGGGUUGUAAACUGCUUUUACCAGGAAAGAAACGAGCGGAUUCAUCUGCUCCUGACGGUACCUGGGGAAUAAGCACCGGCUAACUCCGUGCCAGCAGCCGCGGUAAUACGGAGGGUGCAAGCGUUAUCCGGAAUCACUGGGUUUAAAGGGUGCGUAGGCGGCUUGGUAAGUCAGGGGUGAAAGCUUCCCGCUCAACGGGAGAACUGCCCUUGAUACUGCCUGGCUCGAAUUGGGUUGAGGCUGGCGGAAUGUGGCAUGUAGCGGUGAAAUGCUUAGAUAUGCCAUAGAACACCGAUUGCGAA
rnacentral:rRNA from 1 species